rnacentral:SRP_RNA from 2 species
GCCGGGCAUGGUGGCGCAUGCCUGUAAUCCCAGCUACUAGGGAGGCUGAGGCAGGAGAAUCGCUUGAACCUGGGAGGCGGAGGUUGCGGUGAGCCAAGAUCGUGCCAUUGCACUCAACCCUGGUGACAGAGCGAGAUUCCGUCUCAA